CUAGGGGAGCGAACUGGAUUAGAUACCCAGGUAGUCCUAGCCGUAAACGUUGGGUGCUAGGUGUGGGCGGACAUCGACCCCGUCCGUGCCGAAGCUAACGCAUUAAGCACCCCGCCUGGGGAGUACGGCCGCAAGGCUAAAACUCAAAGGAAUUGACGGGGCCCCGCACAAGCGGCGGAGCAUGUUGCUUAAUUCGAUGCAACGCGAAGAACCUUACCUGGGCUUGACAUGCAGGGUGAAAUCCGUGAAAGCGGACGCUCUUCGGAGCCUGCACAGGUGGUGCAUGGCUGUCGUCAGCUCGUGCCGUGGGGUGUUGCCUUAAGUGGCGCAACGAGCGCAACCCCUGUCCUUAGUUGCCAGCGGAUCAUGCCGGGAACUCUAGGGAGACUGCCGGUGCCAAACCGGAGGAAGGUGGGGAUGACGUCAAGUCAUCAUGCCCCUUACGUCCAGGGCUGCAAACAUGCUACAAUGCUCGGUACAAAGGGCUGCGAUCCCGCAAGGGGGAGCGAAUCCCAAAAAGCCGGGCUCAGUUCGGAUCGGGGUCUGCAACUCGACCCCGUGAAGUUGAGUCGCUAGUAAUCGCAGAUCAGCA
rnacentral:rRNA from 1 species